CCAAUCUCAGCUCCAAUAGCAUCAAGGGAAUCAACGCUGUCAGUUGAGCGCUUAACUCCUACUUUGCUUACUGUGUCUCAACCAAGUUAGUUUGUGCUGCAAGAAUCACCGUAUUCCAAAGCCACCUAACGUCCAGAUUUAUAGCAAGACGUCAAUAAAUUAAACAUUUAACAGCACUGUGUUUGGAAUUUUGAUAGUAUUUCUUUUUUAUCUUUUUUAAAGACCGUAGUUCUUAGAUAGGUUUUGUUCCAACCUAUUUAUUAGUACUCGCAGAAACAUUAUUAUCAGAAUUUGUGUAAUCAACUUCAUCAAUUUCGUUUCCAACCUGAACAGUUUAUGACAAAUAAAUUGAUGAAUUAAUACAUACAAAAAAAAAAAUCAACUCAUUAUAUCACAAAACUACCUAAGAUUAUGCUUA
rnacentral:lncRNA from 1 species